AUGGAGCACCUGCUCCGCAGCUGUACUCCGCUCGAGUACCUUCGUCUUGAGAAGAUCCACAGGUUCAUUAGCCUCCACAUUGCCUCGACAAAUCUCCGAUGGAUUUAUGUGUCUUGCUGGCCCCGUAACAAGACAUCAAUUGUGAAGAGAUCACUCCAGCUGUUCCAUGUUAUGGUCAUUGAGAAUGCGCCUUUCCUUGAGAGAUUGCUUGUAUCGGAUCUAGAAGGUCCAACAAAAAUCAGGGUCAUUGACGCGCCGAAAUUGACAGCAUUGGUGUACUCAUCUGCCAAAUUCUCCAAACUCUUUAUUGGAUCCGUAAUCGUUCAGAAAAUGAUUCCCACAAGCUUGACCCAGUCCAUGCGCACAGUGAAGAUCUUGGCACUAAAAUCUAUCGGCCCCAAUCUGGAUCAAGUUGUUGGAUUCCUUACAUGCUUUCCGUGCACGGAGAAGCUACUCAUCGAGGUGAAACUUCUUUCCUAUUAG
rnacentral:rRNA from 1 species